rnacentral:rRNA from 1 species
GACAGAGGGUGCGAACGUUGCUCGGAAUUACUGGGCGUAAAGCGCGUGUAGGCGGGUGCGCAAGUCCGUUGUGAAAUCCCUGGGCUCAACCCAGGAACUGCAUCGGAAACUGCGUGUCUUGAGUAAUGGAGAGGGAAGUGGAAUUCCCGGUGUAGAGGUGAAAUUCGUAGAUAUCGGGAGGAACACCAGUGGCGAAGGCGGCUUCCUGGACAUUUACUGACGCUGAGACGGCGAAAAGCGUGGGGAGCAAACAGGG